rnacentral:rRNA from 1 species
CCUACGGGAGGCAGCAGUGGGGGAUAUUGCACAAUGGGGGAAACCCUGAUGCAGCGACGCCGCGUGUGGGAAGACGGUCCUCUGGAUUGUAAACCACUGUCCCCAGGGACGAAGAUGACGGUACCUGGGGCGGAAGCUCCGGCAAACUACGUGCCAGCAGCCGCGGUAAUACGGAGGGAGCGAGCGUUGUCCGGAAUUACUGGGUGAAAGGGGAGCGUAGGCGGGACUGCAAGUUGGGUGUCAAAUCUACCGGUUCAACCGGUAGCCGCACUCAAAACUGCAGUUCUUGAGUGAAGUAGAGGCAGGCGGAAUUCCUGGUGUAGCGGUGAAAUGCGUAGAUAUUAGGAGGAACACCAGUGGCGAAGGCGGCCUGCUGGGCUUUUACUGACGCUGAGGCUCGAAAGUGCGGGGAGCAAACAGGAUUAGAUACCCCGGUAGUC